ACGGUGAAACCGCGAAUGGCUCAUUAAAUCAGCUAUGGUUCCUUAGAUCUUACAUCCUUACUUGGAUAACUGUAGUAAUUCUAGAGCUAAUACAUGCCAAUGAGCCCUUACUUGUUUAAAGUCGGGCGGAUUUAUUAGAUCAAAACCAAUCGGAUUUUCCGUUUGUUUGAUGACUCUGGAUAACUUUUCUGAUCGCACGGCCUUUGUGCCAGCGACGUAUCUUUCAAGUGUCUGCCCUAUCAACUGUCGAUGGUAGGUGAUAUGCCUACCAUGGUUAUAACGGGUAACGGGGAAUCAGGGUUCGAUUCCGGAGAGGGAGCCUUAGAAAUGGCUACCACAUCUAAGGAAGGCAGCAGGCGCGCAAAUUACCCACUCUCAGUUCGAGGAGGUAGUGACGAAAAAUAACAAUACGGGACUCUUAUGAGGCCACGUAAUUGGAAUGAGUACAAUCUAAAUCGUUUAACGAGUACCAAUUGGAGGGCAAGUCUGGUGCCAGCAGCCGCGGUAACUCCAGCUCCAAUAGCGUAUAU
rnacentral:rRNA from 3 species